GUUUGGGUGGCGGACGGGUGAGUAACGCGUAAAGAACUUGCCUCACAGAUAGGGACAACAUUUGGAAACGAAUGCUAAUACCUGAUAUUAUGAUUUUAGGGCAUCCUAGGAUUAUGAAAGCUAUAUGCGCUGUGAGAGAGCUUUGCGUCCCAUUAGCUAGUUGGAGAGGUAACGGCUCACCAAGGCGAUGAUGGGUAGCCGGCCUGAGAGGGUGAUCGGCCACAAGGGGACUGAGACACGGCCCUUACUCCUACGGGAGGCAGCAGUGGGGAAUAUUGGACAAUGGACCAAGAGUCUGAUCCAGCAAUUCUGUGUGCACGAUGAAGUUUUUCGGAAUGUAAAGUGCUUUCAGUUGGGAAGAAAAGAAUGACGGUACCAACAGAAGAAGUGACGGCUAAAUACGUGCCAGCAGCCGCGGUAAUACGUAUGUCACAAGCGUUAUCCGGAUUUAUUGGGCGUAAAGCGCGUCUAGGUGGUUAUGUAAGUCUGAUGUGAAAAUGCAGGGCUCAACUCUGUAUUGCGUUGGAAACUGUGUAACUAGAGUACUGGAGAGGUAAGCGGAACUACAAGUGUAGAGGUGAAAUUCGUAGAUAUUUGUAGGAAUGCCGAUGGGGAAGCCAGCUUACUGGACAGAUACUGA
rnacentral:rRNA from 1 species